UACGUAGGGCGCAAGCGUUAUCCGGAAUUAUUGGGCGUAAAGAGCUCGUAGGCGGUUUGUCGCGUCUGCUGUGAAAACCUAAGGCUCAACCUUGGGCUUGCAGUGGGUACGGGCAGACUAGAGUGCGGUAGGGGUGACUGGAAUUCCUGGUGUAGCGGUGGAAUGCGCAGAUAUCAGGAGGAACACCGAUGGCGAAGGCAGGUCACUGGGCCGCAACUGACGCUGGAGGCUACGGAAAAGCGUGGGGAGCAAACAGG
rnacentral:rRNA from 1 species